rnacentral:rRNA from 1 species
CGAUUUCGAAUGCCCGAAAGGGUGACGAAGCGACGCCGCGUGUGGGAAGAAGGCCUUCGGGUUGUAAACCACUGUCGGGAGUUAAGAAAUGCAAGGAUAUUAAUAGUGUCUUUGUUUGACUAAGGCUCCGGAGGAAGCCACGGCUAACUCUGUGCCAGCAGCCGCGGUAAUACAGAGGCGGCAAGCGUUGUUCGGAAUUAUUGGGCGUAAAGAGCACGUAGGCGGCUAUGUAAGUCGGUUGUGAAAGCCUUCCGCUCAACGGAAGAACAGCAUCCGAUACUACGUGGCUUGAGUGCGGGAGGGGAGAGUGGAACUUCUGGUGGAGCGGUGAAAUGCGUAGAUAUCAGAAGGAACGCCGGCGGCGAAAGCGGCUCUCUGGCCCAUAACUGACGCUGAGUGUGCGAAAGCUAGGGGAGCAAACGGGAUUAGAUACCCCGGUAGUCCUAGCCGUAAACGAUGGGCACUAAGUAGAGGGGUUUU